rnacentral:rRNA from 1 species
UACAGAGGGGGCAAGCGUUGUUCGGAAUUACUGGGCGUAAAGGGCGCGUAGGCGGCCUUCUAAGUCAGACGUGAAAUCCCCGGGCUCAACCCGGGAACUGCGUCUGAGACUGGAAGGCUUGAAUCCGGGAGAGGGAUGUGGAAUUCCAGGUGUAGCGGUGAAAUGCGCAGAUAUCAGGAGGAACACCGGUGGCGAAGGCGGGUCACUGGACUGGUACUGACGCUGAGGCGCGAAAGCGUGGGGAGCAAACAGG